UACGUAGGGACCAAGCGUUGUUCGGAUUUACUGGGCGUAAAGGGCGCGUAGGCGGCAAUUCAAGUCAGCUGUGAAAUCUCCGGGCUUAACUCGGAACGGUCAGCUGAUACUGCUUUGCUAGAGUGCAGAAGGGGCAAUCGGAAUUCUUGGUGUAGCGGUGAAAUGCGUAGAUAUCAAGAGGAACACCUGAGGUGAAGACGGGUUGCUGGGCUGACACUGACGCUGAGGCGCGAAAGCUAGGGUAGCAACCGGG
rnacentral:rRNA from 1 species